UACGGGGGGGGCAAGCGUUACUCGGAAUUACUGGGUGUAAAGGGUUCGUAGGCGGUGUGGCAAGUCGGGAGUGAAAUCUCUAGGCUCAACCUAGGGUCUGCUUCCGAAACUGCUGUGCUUGAGUGUGGGAGAGGCGCGUGGAAUUGCAGGUGUAGCGGUGAAAUGCGUAGAUAUCUGCAGGAACACCCGUGGCGAAAGCGGCGCGCUGGACCACUACUGACGCUGAGGAACGAAAGCUAGGGGAGCAAACAGG
rnacentral:rRNA from 1 species